CUUCCUCUUUCUCGGAACGUUAACAGGGGUUCAUGGUUCGCCAUGUUCUCUUGGUUUCGCAGGAUUUACUUUGAAUAAAUUAGGGUGUUCAAAGCAGGCGCAACUCGCCUUGAAUACAUUAGCAUGGGAUAAUAGAAUAUGACCUUUGGUCUACUUAUUGGUUUCUAAGGCCAAGGUAAUGAUUAAUAGGGAUAGUUGAGGUCGCUCGUAUUCAAUGGUCAGAGGUGAAAUUCUAAGACCCAUUGAGGACGAACAAAUGCGAAGGCAUUCGACAAGGAUGUUUUCAUUAAUCAAGAACGAAAGUUGUGGGAUCGAAGAUGAUUAGAUACCGUCGUAGUCACAACCGUAAACUAUGUCGACUCAGGAUCCGGGGAUGUUACAUGGAUGACUCUCCGGGCACUGUGUGCGAAAGCAUAAGUAUUCUGACUCCGGGGGGAGUAUGGUCGCAAGGCUGAAACUUAAAGGAAUUGACGGAAGGGCACCACCAGGAGUGGAACCUGCGGCUUAAUUUGACCCAACACGGGGAAACUUACCCAGUCCGGACACAACGAGGAUUGACAGAUUGAUAGCUCUUUCUUGAUUUUGUGGAAGCCGGUGCAUGGCCGUUUUUAGUUGGUGGAGUGAUUUGUCUGGUUUAGUCCGAUAACGAACGAGACCAUAAUCUGCUAAAUAGUGUCGUUAACAAGGAGACUUACGGGGCGGUCGGGUUUACUCGGCAGUUUCGUGGGUUUCCACUAAAUUGUUGGCGAAAGAUUUACUUCUUAGAGAGACUCUUGAUGAUGCAAAAAUCAAUGGAAGAAUAUGGCAAAAACAGGUCUGUGAUGCCGCUCGAUGUCUGGGGCUGCACGCGCGUUACACUGAGAUGUUCAACAAGUAUUAUUCAUGACCUGGCCCGAAGGGGUUCAGGUAAUCUCGAAAGCAUUUCGUGAUGGGGAUUGUGCCUUGAAACUAUUGCACAUGAACGAGGAAUUCCUAGUAGGGUAGGUCAUCAACCUGCCCUGAUUACGUCCCUGCCCUUUGUACACACCGCCCGUCGCUUCUACCGAUCGAAUUGCUCGAUGAGGACUCGGGAUGAGGGGGUAACUCGUAGGCUGAAAGGUCUGCGCGUCCUCUUCAGAACCUGUUCGAAUCUCGUAAUUUAGAGGAAGAAGAAGUCGUAACAAGGUCUCCGUAGGUGAACCUUCGGAGG
rnacentral:rRNA from 1 species